AGUCGACGAGCGAGAGAGAGCUUGCUUUCUCGAGCGAGUGGCGAACGGGUGAGUAACGCGUGAGGAACCUGCCUCAAAGAGGGGGACAACAGUUGGAAACGACUGCUAAUACCGCAUAAGCCCACGGCUCGGCAUCGAGCAGAGGGAAAAGGAGCAAUCCGCUUUGAGAUGGCCUCGCGUCCGAUUAGCUAGUUGGUGAGGUAACGGCCCACCAAGGCAACGAUCGGUAGCCGGACUGAGAGGUUGAACGGCCACAUUGGGACUGAGACACGGCCCAGACUCCUACGGGAGGCAGCAGUGGGGAAUAUUGCACAAUGGGGGAAACCCUGAUGCAGCGACGCCGCGUGGAGGAAGAAGGUCUUCGGAUUGUAAACUCCUGUUGUUGGGGAAGAUAAUGACGGUACCCAACAAGGAAGUGACGGCUAACUACGUGCCAGCAGCCGCGGUAAAACGUAGGUCACAAGCGUUGUCCGGAAUUACUGGGUGUAGAGGGAGCGCAGGCGGGAAGACAAGUUGGAAGUGAAAUCUAUGGGCUCAGCCCAUAAACUGCUUUCAAAACUGUUUUUCUUGAGUAGUGCAGAGGUAGGCGGAAUUCCCGGUGUAGCGGUGGAAUGCGUAGAUAUCGGGAGGAACACCAGUGGCGAAGGCGGCCUACUGGGCACCAACUGACGCUGAGGCUCGAAAGUGUGGGUAGCAAACAGGAUUGGAUACCCUGGUAGUCCACACCGUAAACGAUGAUUACUAGGUGUUGGAGGAUUGACCCCUUCAGUGCCGCAGUUAACACAAUAAGUAAUCCACCUGGGGAGUACGACCGCAAG
rnacentral:rRNA from 1 species